rnacentral:rRNA from 1 species
GUGAAGCAGAGGCCUGCCAUACGGACGCGCUACUCGCGCAGUCUCUGGCGCCUCAACCCUUUACACAAACAUCCAAACCCGUGUGCACCUGUAGUCUGUUGGGCUUGAGCAAUCGAGCCGGGCAGCUACGCAAAUUUAAACCAAACUCGUAUGGUUGUAUGAACGUGUAAAUCGUUGGACCGUAACUGGCCAGCAAACAAACAAUACAACUUUCGACAACGGAUCUCUUGGUUCUCCCAUCGAUGAAGAACGCAGCGAAACGCGAUAGGUAAUGUGAAUUGCAGAAUUCCGUGAAUCAUCGAAUCUUUGAACGCACCUUGCGCUCCAUGGUAUUCCGUGGAGCAUGCCUGUUUGAGUGCCGUGAAUUCUCUCUCCCCAAGCGGUUGCGAUUGCGCUGCUUGGCGGAUAGGUUGGAUGGGUGCCUGCCAGUGUCUCGUACACCGGCUCGCCCGAAAUUCAUUAGCGCCUUGGACACACUCUGAAAACCGCCCCCGAAGGGAGGGCGGCAGAGCGGAUGGAGGAAUUCCACCCGUCGACUAUACCAAACCUUGCCCAGGCAAGCGCAUGGCAUGAUACGUCAUUUGCUGUGUGCGCGUGCUGGGCCAAGGGGUUGAUGCGGUGCCUCUAGAGCUUUGUGGGUGUGUUGUGUGCUACGAACUAUGCGUGGAGGCACUUGUGCCUUGUGAACGCGUUCCCUUUUUCAUUUCUGGUCUCAAAUCAGGUAGGAUCACCCGCUGAACUUAAGCAUAUCAAUAAGGCGG